GACGAACGCUGGCGGCGUGCUUAACACAUGCAAGUCGAACGGAAAGGCCCUGCUUUUGUGGGGUGCUCGAGUGGCGAACGGGUGAGUAACACGUGAGUAACCUGCCCUUGACUUUGGGAUAACUUCAGGAAACUGGGGCUAAUACCGGAUAGGAGCUCCUGCUGCAUGGUGGGGGUGGGAAAGUUUCGGCGGUUGGGGAUGGACUCGCGGCUUAUCAGCUUGUUGGUGGGGUAGUGGCUUACCAAGGCUUUGACGGGUAGCCGGCCUGAGAGGGUGACCGGCCACAUUGGGACUGAGAUACGGCCCAGACUCCUACGGGAGGCAGCAGUGGGGAAUAUUGCACAAUGGGCGGAAGCCUGAUGCAGCAACGCCGCGUGCGGGAUGACGGCCUUCGGGUUGUAAACCGCUUUAGCCUGUGACGAAGCGUGAGUGACGGUAAUGGGUAAAGAAGCACCGGCUAACUACGUG
rnacentral:rRNA from 1 species